rnacentral:rRNA from 1 species
UGGGGAAUAUUGCACAAUGGGCGCAAGCCUGAUGCAGCCAUGCCGCGUGUAUGAAGAAGGCCUUCGGGUUGUAAAGUACUUUCAGCGGGGAGGAAGGGAGUAAAGUUAAUACCUUUGCUCAUUGACGUUACCCGCAGAAGAAGCACCGGCUAACUCCGUGCCAGCAGCCGCGGUAAUACGGAGGGUGCAAGCGUUAAUCGGAAUUACUGGGCGUAAAGCGCACGCAGGCGGUUUGGUAAGUCAGAUGUGAAAUCCCCGGGCUCAACCUGGGAACUGCAUCUGAUACUGGCAAGCUUGAGUCUCGUAGAGGGGGGUAGAAUUCCAGGUGUAGCGGUGAAAUGCGUAGAGAUCUGGAGGAAUACCGGUGGCGAAGGCGGCCCCCUGGACGAAGACUGACGCUCAGGUGCGAAAGCGUGGGGAGCAAACA